rnacentral:rRNA from 1 species
AUUGAACGCUGGCGGCAUGCCUUACACAUGCAAGUCGAACGGCAGCGGACCUUCGGGUGCCGGCGAGUGGCGAACGGGUGAGUAAUAUAUCGGAACGUACCUUUCAGUGGGGGAUAACGUAGCGAAAGUUACGCUAAUACCGCAUAUUCUGUGAGCAGGAAAGCAGGGGUAUCGCAAGACCUUGCGCUGAUUGAGCGGCCCGAUAUCAGAUUAGCUAGUUGGUGAGGUAAAGGCUCACCAAGGCGACGAUCUGUAGCGGGUCUGAGAGGAUGAUCCGCCACACUGGAACUGAGACACGGUCCAGACUCCUACGGAGGCAGCAGUGGGGAAUUUUGGACAAUGGGCGCAAGCCUGAUCCAGCCAUGCCGCGUGAG